CAUGCAAGUCGAGCGAUGAAGCUGCUUCGGUAGUGAAUUAGCGGCGAACGGGUGAGGAACACGUGAGGAAUCUGCCUUCAACACUGGGAUAACUCCGGGAAACCGGGGCUAAUACCGGAUAUGAGCUCUGAUCGCAUGGACGGGGCUGGAAAGUUUUUCGGUUGAAGAUGACCUCGCGGCCUAUCAGCUUGUUGGUGAGGUAAUGGCUCACCAAGGCGACGACGGGUAGCCGGCCUGAGAGGGCGACCGGCCACACUGGGACUGAGACACGGCCCAGACUCCUACGGGAGGCAGCAGUGGGGAAUAUUGGGCAAUGGAGGAAACUCUGACCCAGCGACGCCGCGUGCGGGAUGAAGGCCUUCGGGUUGUAAACCGCUUUCAGUAGGGAAGAAGCGAAAGUGACGGUACCUACAGAAGAAGCACCGGCUAACUAUGUGCCAGCAGCCGCGGUAAUACAUAGGGUGCAAGCGUUGUCCGGAAUUAUUGGGCGUAAAGAGCUCGUAGGUGGUUUGAUACGUCGGAUGUGAAAUUCAGGGGCUCAACCCCUGACCUGCAUUCGAUACGGUCAAGCUAGAGUUUGGUAGGGGAGACUGGAAUUCCUGGUGUAGCGGUGGAAUGCGCAGAUAUCAGGAGGAACACCGAUGGCGAAGGCAGGUCUCUGGGCCAAUACUGACACUGAGGAGCGAAAGCGUGGGGAGCGAACAGGAUUAGAUACCCU
rnacentral:rRNA from 1 species